CUUUCUUACCAAUAACAACCCCUGCUUUUAAGCGCAAAAUCUUGAACUAGAUUUGCUGUAGCAGACACAAAGUAAUCAUAUAAUACCUAAAAAUCACUGUUUAAUAAAUAUGGUGUCUUCUGUGUUUUUUGACAGACAUUUUCUGCUCCAGCAACACCAGGCCCUUCUGUGCGUCCAAGUAAACAGACAGCACAGAGCUUCCCAGCUGUAGCCCCAACUCUACAGACACAGCUUACUGCUCAGCCCAGCCAGGAGCAGCACCAGUUCCCACCAUCUGCCAUGCCUCUUCAGCUGUUUUCUGCUGACCAGCCUGUGUCA